rnacentral:miRNA from 1 species
UCCAUGACACUCAGGAUACAAGACUUUCUAGCUCUUCACCCCACCAUACCUCAAGGUUAAAGACUGUAAAACAACGUAUCUUAAAUCAAGGUUGUUAAAGUUAUUGGAUCUGUAGUUGUCAUGUCUUCAUUUCUUUUCAUA